GAGCAGAGGGUGCAAACGUUGCUCGGAAUUAGCUAGGGCGUAAACGCGUGUAGGUGGACCAGCAAGUCAGGCGUGAAAUCCCUAGGCCCAACCUAGGAACUGCACCUGAAACUUCUGGUCUUGAGUGGUGGAGAGGAAAGCAGAAUUCUGGUGAGAGGUGAAAUUCGUAGAUAUCAAGGAGGAACACCGGUGGCGAAGGCGGCUUUC
rnacentral:rRNA from 1 species